GAAUGGCUCAUUAUAACAGCUAUAAUUUACUUGAUCUUGACACAAUCCUACUUGGAUAACUGUGGUAAUUCUAGAGCUAAUACAUGCAUUAAAGCUCUGACCUCACGGGAAGAGUGCAUUUAUUAGAACAAAACCAAGCGGCUUCGGCUGUUUCUGGUUGACUCAUAGUAACUGAGCUGAUCGCAUGGUCUUGCACCGGCGACGUGUCUUUCAAGUAUCUGCCGUAUCAACUUUCGAUGGUAGUGUAUCUGACUACCAUGGUGAUCACGCGUAACGGAGAAUAAGGGUUCGGCUCCGGAGAGUUCGCCUGAGAAAUCGCGAACACAUCUAAGGAAGGCAGCAGGCGCGAAAAUUACCCACUCUCAGCACGAGGAGGUAGUGACGAAAAAUAACGAGACCGUUCUCUUAUGAGGCCGGUCAUCGGAAUGGGUACAAUUUAAACCCUUUAACGAGUAUCUAUGAGAGGGCAAGUCUGGUGCCAGCAGCCGCGGUAAUUCCAGCUCUCAAAGUGCAUAGAAUUAUUGCUGCGGUUAAAAAGCUCGUAGUUGGAUCUGUGCCAUAGGACGUGGUCCACCUUCGGGUGCGUACUACGCUCCUAGGCUUUUUGCUGGUUUUCCCGUCGUAGCCUUCACUGGUUGCGGC
rnacentral:rRNA from 1 species